rnacentral:lncRNA from 1 species
AUGAGCCCUGCCCUGACCCUGCUUCUGUCACUGGCCAGCUGCACCGUGCUCUGGGGCACGCCAUUGCCUCCGCGAGACGUGAGGCUGGAGGCACAAAACUUCCACGUCCACCUGCAGUGGGAGCCAGACCCUGGCUCACCCAGUGGCGCCUCGUACCAGGUGGAGUGGAGGAGACGAACCUCUCGCUGGACCAAGGUGGAUACCUGCUGGGGGAACAGCACCAGCUCCUCCUGGGCAUGCGAGCUGUAUUUUGACAAGAUCCACGAUAUCUACUGGGCAAGGGUGAGAGCGGUGGCCGGAGACAAGCUGUCCGAGUGGGCCUAUUCCAGCGAGCUGCAGCUGUACAGAGACACAAUUGUGGGCCCCCCCAAGUUGUCUUGGCUGCUCCAGGGUCACAUCCUCAACGUAAAUAUCAUCAUGCCACUUACUCCCUACCGAAGCACAAAUGGCUCUUACAAGCCAGUCGACCAAGUGCUGCUCAAGCUGUGGUACUGGCUGAAUCUGUACGAAGGGGAUGUGCUUGUCCAGCAAGUGCCCUGCAAAUGGAGCAGGGAGGAAGCCCCAUGUACUUUCAGCUACCUGAAGCCCAACACGCGGUACUGUGUCCGGACGGCAGCCGCAGGCAUGCUUGGGGAGCAGAGCCAGGAGGCCGAGCAGUGCAUGGUGACUCCGCCAGGCCCCGCAGGCUUUCCCUGGGUCCUCCUUGCCGUGCUGAGUGGCGUCUUCCUGCUGCUGAGCAUGGCCGGGCUCUGCUUCUUCCAGCUGCACGUCUUCCCCAGCCCCUCGGAGACGCUCCUCCCGAAAACGCUUGUGAGUACACAGUCCUCCUCCAGCCUCUCCACCCUAUGCGUACCGCACCCGAGCUGGGGUUCUGUGCAUUUGCAGGGGGCUCAGCACCUCUUUCCCUCCACCUCUUGCACCACUAAACCUGCCUCAGUGCCCAGGUGCCUCCCCUGCUGUCUGACCCGCUGUACCCCCAGGCCUUGCUGUGCGGGAGAAGAUACUGGCGAGAUGCAUUAACCAGCCAUGGGUCACACUGGGGGAGGGUGUCUCGGGCAGCACGUAGCCUGUGGCCCUCGGUGUUAGAAGCCUCCUGCUUUAGGCAGUUGGCUUUUGCUUGGCUGCAUGUCCAUCUACAACAGCUGCAAGGGCAGAAAGAGGGGAAGAGAAACAAACAGUGGGGCUGCUGUCCUGGGACAGUCUGGCCUGAGUGAGAUGCAGCCCCUCACUGCUCUGCCCUUGGGAUAAAUGCGGCCCCAAAGCUCGGAGGGCUACAGCCCUGCUGAGCUGAUCCAAACUUGUUCUGGAUCAGCAGGACUGAGCCCUGUGAAACAGUCACCAGGACAGCCUUUCGCCCUGAGUCCCAGUUCCCCCGUGCUGGGGGUGGCAGCAGCCUGGGAUGAGCAGCCCUUUGAGCAUUCUGGGGACAAAACCAACUUGUUAAGCUAAAGAAGUCCCCUCUGCCAGUGUGGAGAAAAGGUGGCAGGCUGCUCCACUUGCCCUGGCCCACCACAGGGCCAGCGUCCUUUGCUUUCCUAUUCUCCUUGGCUUCUUCAUGGGGAUUGCUUGGGUCUCUGAGCAGGUGAGAGCUGCUGACAGCUGGGGCAUAGCUUGAAAAGCAGCAGUGUGAAAGCUUCUGUGACCAUACCCCAGCACCACAGCCCCUGUGCCGUAAUGAGCAGAGCCCUGCCUGCAUUUCUCCCAGGUGUGAGCAUGGCAGAGGGGCUGUCCGGGACCAUUCCCUGCCCCGGGCUCCACGGUUCAUCACCCCCAGGCUGGUGGGGGUUUCAGCAAGCUGAGGCUGACUGCUUUGCUGCUUGUUUCCCAGCAGGCUCUCCUGAACAGGGACUCGAGUGUGACUGUCAGGGAGCCCACCCUUGAGCUCAAGGAGGACUCACUCACCCAGCUCCUGCCAACUGUGCUACCCUCCUGCCAGUUGCCUGCAGGUGAGCAGACAACACCCACAGUCCAGCUGCUCGUCAGAGAAAGCCUUUCCCAGGACAUGAGUGGCUACUGUGCCAACGGGUUUGGGCCAGACUGCCACGAGGGAAGGGACCUGUCCUGCACCCACAGCCAGCUGGGGCAUGCCUUGGGCUCCCAGGUCUCAUUGCGGCUGGAGGAGGAUGGGGAAGUGUGUGAUGGGGAUGAUGUGCUGGAGCAGCCAGUGCUGGUGGGACUGACCAGAGACAGCUACACAGGCGACAGGGACUACCGGACAUCGGAGAUGUGGCUCCCCCUGCAUCUCCAGCUUCAUUCUAAAUGCCAGUGCCCAGCCCUGGGAGCGGGCAGUUGGCUACCUCUGCCCACACCAGGCAGGAGCUUCAGCCAGGAGGACUUGCGGGAGAGCCUUGGCACGGCAAGGCACUGGGUACUGCUCAGCUCCGUGAAGCUGCCCGCCAGCGAGGAGGAGGAUGGAGGGCAGCUCGUCCACGCUGUCCAGCCCCUGCAUGGCCUUGGGACUGAGCCGCAGCCAGGUGACAGCACCGUGCAGCAGGGUGACUCGGAGCAGGCAGCACUGGGUGUCCCCAGCCCUUGCCAGCUGCCCCAAUUGUCCUCUGACGUCCGACAGGCAGCUGCCUUCUCUGGCUAUGAGCUGCGUCCCCCAGCUGACGGUGAGCCAUAGCAGGCAGGCGGGGGCACACUGGGAGCUCCUGGCACCCAGAUCACAGCACCAAGCAGAGCUCGAGUUGCUGCCCGGAGCUGCCCCAGCCAUGAUGGCUGCCUGCUCAGACCUGCCUGUGCCUUGUUGGGGACAGGACUGGGGCAGGCUCCCCUGCGGGCAGGCACAGGCAUGCUGCAGGUACGGCUGCCAUGGAUGGGUGAGAUCAGUAUCUUCAGAGCUUCCCUCUGGUUUUGGUGCUCUUGAACCAAAGCAUAAGGAAUACAUACCAAAAUCAAAGCCCCAAAACUUUUAUCUAUUUAUCCAUCUAUAUGUGUAUAUAUGUGUGCGUGUAAAGUAUAUAUACUAAUGCAAAUGUAUGUUUAUACUCAAAUAUAUAUAUAAACCUCUUGAAUGAAAGAGGAGAUUUUUUUUUUUUUUUACUUGUCUGGAAAUACUGAUUGUGCACUGGAGCUGUUGUUUAAAUAACACUAAUUUAUUAAGGAAAACUAGCUUCUGUGCUUAUUCUUUCUGUGUUACAGAACCAGCGCUGCCCUGCCUGAGCAGCAUCUGGGAAAGGCACUAGGAAAACGUGGUGUUUCGCUGGGAGAAAAUUGCACCCACAGCUAGGCUGCGUGUUGCUGUCGUGUGGGAAAAGGCUGGUUCUUGAGCAACCACUAGAUAGUUUUAUUAUUCCUUCUACCAGCACUGGGGCAAUUUACUUCUGGGGAGCCCUGCCCUGCAGUCGUCUCUCUGGGAUGUGUUUGUGAGGCUGUGCCUGCAGCCACAGAGGCAAGGGGAAAUCCUCUGGCCCAGUGUCAGGCAGCAUUGUACUUUG